GGGGCUGUAUUUCCCCUGUUGGACUUGGAUGAUGAGAUGCAGUCUACUACCAAAGAACCUGGAUGUGGGUGUUUGAAGAGGUCCUUGACAUAAAAACUCUCAAGAACCGGAGCUGUUGUUUCCUGAUGCUGCUGCUGUGGUGGUUGGAAAAGAAUUGAAUCCAAGGACACUCUAACUGCCACUCCUAAUGGAAGCGGAUAAGCACAGAGUGGAGCAAGAGCAUCGUGUGGAGCUUUGAAAGUGGCAGCUGCACAUGUGCAUUGCCCAGUUGUGUGAAUACAACUGGGAUCACAGCAAGGGUCUUCAGUUACAGGUAUGAAGAUGCUGAAUGCCAGGACAGAGCCCUGUAGCACUGCACAUGAUAUAUUCCUCCAGGAUGAUGUGGAGCCAUAAUUGAGUACUCACUGGAUACAGCUCUUCAACCAGUUGUGAACCCACCUAACAGUAUUAUCAUC